CACUUUGAAAAAAAGUAUGUAGGUAUGUAAAACUCUAAAUAUAUUUUGUUACCUAAACACUUUGGGAAAAAAGUGUUGAGCAGUUUGAAUUGUCAAAAAAACAUAUGCGAAGAUGGUCGUGAAUUCUAUCACUGUGCUGCAAAUUGUAUUAUGGGUUUGAGGAAAAUUGUUGAAAAUUAUGGGUUUUCCAGGUCGUUUUGAAAUUAUGGGUUUGAGGGAAAUUGUAUGCAAUUUAUCUACACAAUUCAUAAAUCUCAAAAAGAAAAUAGAGGGAUUUUAUAUCUGCUACCGGAGACAGGUGACGAAGAACAAAGCAACAGUGGCGGCUAGCAGUUAGCGGCAGAGUAAUUAGAUAGUUUUCUGGUAAAUGGUAUGUGGGGGUGAAGAUGUUUUCUGAAAAGGGUAAAGUUGAAAAUUACUUUUGAAUGUAGGGGUAAAGGUAUAAAUGUUGGGGUAGAAAAAAAAAUUUCCCCAUAACUUAUGCCGUUUUCUUGUAGUGUUACUGUUUUUCUUUUCUAAAAUAUCUUAUAUGAAUUGGCAUAUCUAAUAAUAAUUUUCAUUCCUUCA